rnacentral:rRNA from 1 species
GACGAACGCUGGCGGCGUGCUUAACACAUGCAAGUCGAACGGAAAGGCCCUGCUUUUGUGGGGUGCUCGAGUGGCGAACGGGUGAGUAACACGUGAGUAACCUGCCCUUGACUUUGGGAUAACUUCAGGAAACUGGGGCUAAUACCGGAUAGGAGCUCCUGCUGCAUGGUGGGGGUUGGAAAGUUUCGGCGGUUGGGGAUGGACUCGCGGCUUAUCAGCUUGUUGGUGGGGUAGUGGCUUACCAAGGCUUUGACGGGUAGCCGGCCUGAGAGGGUGACCGGCCACAUUGGGCCUGGGAUCCGGCCCAGACUCCUACGGGCGGCAGCAGUGGGGAAUAUUGCACAAUGGGCGGAGGCCUGAUGCAGCAACGCCGCGUGCGGGAUGACGGCCUUCGGGUUGUAAACCGCUUUCGCCUGUGACGAAGCGUGAGUGACGGUAAUGGGUAAAGAAGCACCGGCUACCUACGU